UCUGGGGAACCUUUAAUCUGCUGCUGAGCCUGCUGCCCAAAAUGUUCAGCUUUGUCCCUCAUCUCCUUAGCUGCAUGAGCAAUCUUUUCUCUCGCACGAUCCAGCUGAUCUGCCCCGAUGGGGUGCUUCCCAGUCGCAUACCUGAACAUCCAAAAGAAAACAAAGCAAAAAUGAGCAAUCUUUUCUAUCACACGAUCCACCUGAUCUGCACCGAUAGGGUGCUUUCCAGUCGCAUACCUGAACAUCCAGUAGAAAAUAAAGGUGGCAGUUACGCCAAGACCUCCAGAGAUAAAGAACCCUGCAAGAAUCAGAAAGAAGGUUACAGCAGCUGGGACUAUCACAGGACUGAAAAUCACCAAAAGGGGCGUUGCCAAAACUAGGCCUAUUAUUGUUCCAGCCAGUGUCAGCCCCGACAGAAGCAUGAGUGAACCCCCCACG
rnacentral:lncRNA from 1 species